GUAUGACUCUGUUGGGAAGUUUCUAAAUAGGAAAAGUUUCAUCUUAUAUGAUAAGGUGGUGGGCCCUUGCUUUGAGUACUUUUAUCUGGGCUCUAGGGUGCAGGUGGUGUGGGGAAUAUCUGAUCCUACUUGCUUCCAACGCAAACCUAAGAUUUGAGACCCAAUGUGUGUGAAUCCCGAAUUAGUAGUAAUUGACCAGAAAUCUGAUCGAGUCAGGUAGCGACCUAACAUAUUUAUAAUUAACUAAACAGAAUAUUCUCAAUCAAACAAAAAGAAU
rnacentral:lncRNA from 1 species